UAAUAAUAAUAAUAAUAAUAAUAAUAAUAAUAAUAAUAAUAAUAAUAAUAAUAGGAAGAUGAUUAGUACAUUUAGUUAGUUAGUUAUUGAUAUUUUCAGUAACACAAUGUUAUAACCACUUGAUCUCUCUCUCUGUCUCUGAGUUGUGAUGUCAGUAACUGAUAUCUCUCUGUGUGUGAAACUGAAACACAGAGACGAUGUCAUUGCUGCUGUUACAGCUCAGUCAUUUAGCACAGAUUCUAUUUAUUUAUAUUGAAUCUACUUUAAUAAUAAUAAUAAUAAUAAUAAUAAUAAUAAUAAUAAUAAUAUACAAACAAUUUAAUCAGAAUUUAUUUCAAGAUUUCCCCAGAUCUGAAUCACAGAGAGCAAUGUGCUGAGGAAGAAUUCCUGCUAAAAUCUCCCAGGAUAAAGAAAUGAGGGAACAGCCAGACGCCGACUGUUACUCGUUUCCUGUCUCUCUGCUCGGUUUCCGUGGUCUGCGCCCGGCUCGUCUGUCUCCCGUUAGAACUUCAUCGGCGUCUUUUAUCACUUGUGUCUAAGUGCAGAGAAACACAAUACUGCUGCUGACGAGCGGCGGCUCUUGAUUAGCUGCGUGAGGAGCGCUCGAGUUUCACUGCUGUGCUGAAUAAAAGCCAUCAUUCAGAAACACA